UCGAGAAGCUGCCUACCCCGGAAGAUGUGGCCGGGUGUGACGAAAUCUGAAAUUGGUAGAAGGUUGGAAAAAAAAUUGAGAGUAUGCCAUCGGGAGGUCUAAUGAAUCUUCCAAGUAUACCCAAAGUUAGUAUGGCUGUUGAUGAAGAAGGUAGUGCGAGUGAUGAAAAAAAAAGAAGUGGAAGGUAAAGGGUGCAGAAAGAAGCACCCGGCCCAGACAUUGUUAAGUCCAUUUACUGAUCCUUUGAGGAAGAAGAGGACAAUUAGUGUGUCGAAUGCGAUUGCAACCCCGCCAUGGUUUGAUCCAUCAAAACCCCUGCCCAUUGAAGAUGUGAAGGCAGUAAUAGAGUUUUGCACUACCUAGAAAACCGAUAUCAGUGCGGACAACGACAGAUUAUUGCUUGCAGCAAUUGCUAGAGCCGGUCAAAGCAACUGCCAAGAAACGUGGAUCGAUGAAGGCAGCUGCUUCAAACAUCAUUGACCUUCCACCCAGCAAGCUGAACAAUUUACAUCACUAUGUGCACGGUACGUGGCAACACGGGUAUGGCCAAGCUUGGACAAAAGUCCGGAAGGUCUAUUUUCCAUAUAAUCUUAAAAGGUCCCACUGAGUUGCAAUCGAAAUUGAUUUUGUCAAUCAUAUUGCAACUGUGUAUGACUCCUACUCUGAUUUUACCGCCCCUUCGAAGCGGGUUAGUCUUCUGUACCCUAUUUGCGAGAUGCUGGCACGAGUGCUGUACAAUAUGCACUUUUAUGAAGCUUCUGAGGUUGAAGAGGUUAAGCAAAAGGGGCUGCAGAUGUCAAGGUUUACACCAUUCUCAGUUUGCAGCAUUGGAGAUAUGCCAUAACAACAAGAUGGUGCGUCUUGCGGAAUGAUGACCGUAAAAUUCAUCAACCAUCUCAGUGCUGGGAUUUCGUUGGAUACAGUUGACCCUUUGAAGAUCAAAUAUUACGGACUGAAGCUUGCAAUAGAGGGUUUAAGGGGGGAGGCAUAUGUAUGAGGAACUCGUUUAUAUGAAGAUGCAAACGUGGAUGCUUUGCUGGAAAUUCUUGCCUUUUUGCUAGAGCUAGUUGGUUUAGUUAUUAUGUGUACCAAGGUGAAAUCAUUUCCCGGAUCUUUAGCCUUGCUGUAUAUUGUGAGGUGUAAUAUUGUACAGUCUAGAAGCAAUGGCUAAUUGCCUUACAUGGCACACACAUUUUUUCGAUUUUGAACGUUACCUAUUUUGUACUCCUCCAUAU